UACAGAGGGCGCGAGCGUUGUCCGGAAUCACUGGGCGUAAAGGGCGCGUAGGUGGCCACUAUAAGGCCGCGGUGAAAGUUCGGGGCUCAACCCUGAAUCUGCCGCGGCGACUGUAGGGCUUGGGCAUCGUAGAGGCAGAUGGAAUUCCGGGUGUAGCGGUGAAAUGCGUAGAUAUCUGGAGGAACACCGGUGGCGAAGGCGACAUCCUGGACCGGUAUUGACGCUGAGGCGCGAAAGCCAGGGGAGCAAACGGG
rnacentral:rRNA from 1 species